rnacentral:rRNA from 3 species
GAAGUCGUAACAAGGUUUCCGUAGGUGAACCUGCGGAAGG